rnacentral:rRNA from 1 species
AGUGAACGCUGGCGGUAGGCCUAACACAUGCAAGUCGAACGGCAGCACAGUAAGAGCUUGCUCUUACGGGUGGCGAGUGGCGGACGGGUGAGGAAUACAUCGGAAUCUACUUUUUCGUGGGGGAUAACGUAGGGGAACUUACGCUAAUACCGCAUACGACCUACGGGGGAAAGCAGGGGAUCUUCGGACCUUGCGCGAUUGAAUGAGCCGAUGUCGGAGUAGCUAGUUGGCGGGGUAAAGGCCCACCCAGGCGACGAUCCGUAGCCGGUCUGAGAGGAUGGUCAGCCACACUGGAACUGAGACACGGUCCAGACUCCUACGGGAGGCAGCAGUGGGGAAUAUUGGACAAUGGGCGCAAGCCUGAUCCAGCCAUACCGCGUGGGUGAAGAAGGCCUUCGGGUUGUAAAGCCCUUUUGUUGGGAAAGAAAAGCAGCGGGUUAAUACCCCGCUGUUCUGACGGUACCCAAAGAAUAAGCACCGGCUAACUUCGUG